GAUGAACGCUGGCGGCGUGCCUAAUACAUGCAAGUCGAACGGACAGGCGCUGAUCUUGCGGCGUUCUCGUUAGCCGAGCGCGUGUGUGAAACGCGUGUAAAAUGCACUUAAAAUUGGGAUAAAAUCUCGAAACAGGGGAUAAUACAGCGGAGGAGAUCCUGAUGCACAGGGGGGGAUGGAAAGAUCCGGCGGUGUGGGCUCGACUAGCGGCUUAUCAGCUUGUUGGUCGGGUAGUGGAUUACCAAGUCUUUGACGGGUAGCCGGCCUGAGAGGUUGACCGGGGACAUUGGGCCUGAGGUACGGCCCAGACUCCUACGUGCGGCAGCGGUGGGGAACAUUGCACAAUGGGCGCAAGCCUGAGGCAGCGAUGCCGCGUUCGUGAUGCCCUCUUUCGGGUUGUAAACCGCUUUCUCCUGUGACGAAGCCUGCGUGACGGUAAUGGGUAAAGAAGCACCGGCUAACUACGUG
rnacentral:rRNA from 1 species